rnacentral:sRNA from 2 species
UCCUUAAGAGUGCCGAAUCUUAAUAAUAUUUAAGUACGGGGGAACACAUUGUGGGUGAAUCUUACGACUAUUCGUAAGUAGGGUGCCUUCAACCCGAAUCCGUAAGCUAACCUCGGAGGCAAAAUUGAUAAAGGAA